GUGGGUGGGACACCGUCAAGUCCUUUGGGUUUUAAGCUGGGGCUCGUAGUACCCGGGCGUGGGUGGGUGUGAGUUAAUAUUUUACGGUUAG
rnacentral:rRNA from 1 species